GGGCCCGUAGCAUAACGGACUGUGCGCUUCGCUUCGGACGAAGUGGUUGGGGGUUCGAGUCCCUCCGGGCCCG
rnacentral:tRNA from 1 species